AUUACAAGAUUUCACCCCUACCCCUGAAGUACCUCUCACCUCUCCCGGCCUCGAGCCAGACAGUAUCUCCUGAAAGCCUGACAGUUAAGCUGCCAGAUUUCUCAAGAGACUUAUCCGGCCGGCUACAGACCCUUUAGACCCAAUAAUAACGGUUACCACUCGAGCCGCCGGUGUUACCGCGGCGGCUGGCACCGGUCUUGCCCGGCCCUUGCUAUGAAAUGCUUUUUAGGCAUCUCGACAGCCAGAUUUGUAACCUGGCACUCGAGGUUCCCUUAUCGCUGUUGCCAGCAUUGUAAAGUUUUCGCGCCUGCUGCACCCCGUAGGGCCUGGAUUCGUGUCUCAGAAUCCAUCUCCGGGCUCUUGCUCUCACAACCCGUACCCGUCGUAGGCUAGUAGGUACGCUACACCCACUACUACCUGAUAGGCCGCAGACCCAUCCUUAGGCGCCGGAGCUUUAAAUCUCGAUGCAUUCCAGCAAUCGAGACCUAUCGGGUAUUAUACCCAGUUUCCCGGGUUUAUACCCAACCUAAGGGCAGGUUGUCCACGUGUUACUGAGCAGUUCGCCAUGUAUUGCUACAUUCGACUCGCAUGGCUUAGUCGAACCUCGAUAGCAGUAACCUCUGGCAGGAUCAACCGGA
rnacentral:rRNA from 1 species